rnacentral:rRNA from 1 species
GUGGGGAAUAUUGGACAAUGGGGGGAACCCUGAUCCAGCCAUGCCGCGUGUGUGAAGAAGGCCUUUUGGUUGUAAAGCACUUUAAGCGAGGAGGAGGCUCUCUUGGUUAAUACCUGAGAAGAGUGGACGUUACUCGCAGAAUAAGCACCGGCUAACUCUGUGCCAGCAGCCGCGGUAAUACAGAGGGUGCGAGCGUUAAUCGGAUUUACUGGGCGUAAAGCGCGCGUAGGUGGCUAAUUAAGUCAAAUGUGAAAUCCCCGAGCUUAACUUGGGAAUUGCAUUCGAUACUGGUUGGCUAGAGUAUGGGAGAGGAUGGUAGAAUUCCAGGUGUAGCGGUGAAAUGCGUAGAGAUCUGGAGGAAUACCGAUGGCGAAGGCAGCCAUCUGGCCUAAUACUGACACUGAGGCACGAAAGCGUGUGGAGCAAACAGGAUUAGAUACCCGGGUAGUCC